UACGUAGGGUGCGAGCGUUAAUCGGAAUUACUGGGCGUAAAGCGUGCGCAGGCGGUUUUGUAAGCCAGGUGUGAAAUCCCCGGGCUCAACCUGGGAAUGGCAUUUGGGACUGCAAGGCUGGAGUGCGGCAGAGGAGACUGGAAUUCCUGGUGUAGCAGUGAAAUGCGUAGAUAUCAGGAGGAACACCCGUGGCGAAGGCGGCUCUCUGGGACGGUACUGACGCUGAGACGCGAAAGCGUGGGGAGCGAACAGG
rnacentral:rRNA from 1 species